AGUCCGUGAUGUGGGCAUUGUUUGAGCAUAUUAUUAAAUAUAUCCCAUACUUCAAAUAGUGAUUCAGAGUUUGACUAUCUAAAGCUUGCUAUCAAAUUUCUCAUAUA